UACGAAGGGGGCUAGCGUUGCUCGGAAUCACUGGGCGUAAAGGGUGCGUAGGCGGGUCUUUAAGUCAGGGGUGAAAUCCUGGAGCUCAACUCCAGAACUGCCUUUGAUACUGGCGACCUUGAGUCCGGGAGAGGUGAGUGGAACUCCGAGUGUAGAGGUGAAAUUCGUAGAUAUUCGGAAGAACACCAGUGGCGAAGGCGGCUCACUGGCCCGGUACUGACGCUGAGGUGCGAAAGCGUGGGUAGCAAACAGG
rnacentral:rRNA from 1 species